rnacentral:tRNA from 1 species
GACCAUGCAGCUCGAUCGGACGAGCAUCCGGCUACGAACCGGGAGGUUGGGGGUUCGAGUCCCUCCUUGGUCG